rnacentral:sRNA from 1 species
UAUGUGUGUACUUCACACUACUCCCAUAAUUAUACCUACAACCAUCUCUUACAUGCUCUGUUGACUGAGCUGAGUCAUCUUCAACAGAUUCACAGUCUUAUUCUGUUUUCUAUACAAAUACUUCAUUUUUUUCUUCAUCUUACAGAGCUGAUACAUCUCCAUCUGCAGCUGCAACAACUUCAGCUUCAUAACUUCACUGUCACUCAUCUCAUCAUUCUUCUCUUCAUUCUUCAGUGUCACAAAUGUCAUCUGUUUCUUUUUGAAUGAACUGAAUGACUCAGCUGUCUGAUUUGACUUCACACUGACAGUCUGCUUCUUUCUCUUUCUCUUCUUCUUCUCAUUCCCCUCUGCAGCUGCAGAGCUGGCAGUGGUUGUAUUGAUGAGAAUGAUAAACUGCUGAUUCUCUGUUAUUUCCAUGUCAGCAUAUAUGUUUUGCAUAUAUCUUUUGCUAAUGUAUUUACAUGUGAU